CUCACAUUUUUAGCCCUUCUCAUGCUUGUAGCAACAAGUAGAUCUCUCUCUCUCUCUCUCUCUCUCUCUCUCUCUCUCUCUCUCUCUCUCUCUCUCUCUCUCUCUCUCUCUCUCUCUCUCUCUCUCUCUCUCUCUCUCUCUCUCUCUCAUUAAUUAUUGAAAUAAUAUGAAUUAAUUAUUAAUGACAGGUGUAUCAGCAAAAAGAUGUCAGACACAAGUAGACUGUAUAGAGAAUCCAUGCAAAGGAAGUUUUGCGACAUGUUCGAAAGGAGUUUGCGAAUGCGCGAUUCGAAUCGAUCAGGGUGAAGACGGUGAAUGCAGCGUCGACGACGAAUGCAAGAAAAAGCUUUUUGUUCCUGGUUGUACCAACUACUUUUGUGAAUUUGGCGCCUGUUUCUGCAACUAGAGAUGAAUUAUAUAUCUAUCUAUAAUAUAUAUUAAGUUUGUCUGAAAAAAAAAAAGAAUAAAUAAUAAUUGGGGCUUUUCUUCAAUAGUGUCAGG
rnacentral:lncRNA from 1 species